AACGAACGCUGGCGGCAGGCCUAACACAUGCCAGUCGAGCGAGGACUUCGGUUCUAGCGGCGGACGGGUGAGUAACGCGUGGGAAUGUGCCCUUCUCUACGGAAUAGCCCUGGGAAACUGGGAGUAAUACCGUAUACGCCCUAUUGGGGAAAGAUUUAUCGGAGAAGGAUCAGCCCGCGUUGGAUUCGGUAGUUGGUGGGGUAAUGGCCUACCAAGCCGACGAUCCAUAGCUGGUUUGAGAGGAUGAUCAGCCACACUGGGACUGAGACACGGCCCAGACUCCUACGGGAGGCAGCAGUGGGGAAUCUUAGACAAGGGGGGCAACCCUGAUCGAGCCAUGCCGCGGGAGUGAUGAAGGCCUUAGGGUUGUAAAGCUCUUUCAGCUGGGAAGAUAAUGACGGUACCAGCAGAAGAAGCCCCGGCUAACUCCGUG
rnacentral:rRNA from 1 species